ACUUCUCACAGGGCAAGGUACCCUGCCCUCUCUUAAGACUGGAGGGGGAGGAAGAGAGUGUUUCUCAAUGGCCUGGAGCUUUGCAGUAGGGCUGGCUGGCCAGCCAGUGAGAUCAAGAGACCUGCUGCUGUCAUCCCAGGGCUGUGGAUUACAGACAGAGCUCUGCAUUCCAAAGUGGUAUGUGGAAGGAGAAGGAGGAGGAGAAGAGUGGGAUUGAGAAGAGAAACCAGACAUGUUGUCACUAUUAGUGCCAUAGUAAAUCAAAGUGUCUCAGAACAGACUUUCAAUUAGAAAUCAAAAUAGAGCUCAAACCUGUUCCUCCCAUAACCAGCUCUGUAUCGACAUCAAUAUAAUUGUGUGCGCCACAAGCAACCCCAGCAUUUCUAGGGCCUUGCAACAAGUGCAAACUUGGGGAUCCUACCUCAAACCCACUGCAUCAGAGAGCUGGCCCUCCUGCUGACUCUGCUGCACACCACAGCACAGCUUGAGAGCCAUCUUCACAUAUUCCAACUGGAUGGAAGACAACGAGCUCAGGAGAGUAAGGGGUAGGAGCUGAUAUUUCAUGGAACUUCUACAGCAUCCUGGUUACCUUCUUAAAAAACCUAGUCUGUCCAGCCCUUAAGGCCACAGGUUCAUCCUAUGUGAUGCAGAUCUCUCCUAAAACACACAUGAAGCACAGCAAAAGAUGUUAUUCAGAUGUUAGAGAGCGUGCAUGGUGUGAAGGAAGCCCUCUGUGGGUUUGAACCCCAGCACCACAUAAAACCUGUAUGGUGGCCAGUGCUGGAGAAAUGGAGAUGUGGAGAUGGAAGACCAGACGAUCAAGGUCGGCUACAUAUAAAUGUGAAUGGAUUAAGGAAAGUCGAGACCUGCUCCACCUGUGGAUGGAUUAGAAUGUGUCGAGACCCACCCCAUGACAUUAGCAGUCACUGUCAGAGCACCCUUCAUCACAAUGGCGACAAACGGAAAUGUGAGCCUCCCUGUAUGGAAGCAGGACAACCAUGAUGACUCAGAGCAGACCUUCAUGAUUAGGUUUGUUUUCCUUCUAUCGUGGCACAAGGUACAACAAGCUCAUGAGACCAGAAGAUCAUCAAGUCUUCAUGAGACUUGCCCAGAGAUUCUAUAAGAGCUUUCCCCCAAGCAGGAUGCUGGAGGCAUUAAACAAACUGUAAGCUUCAAUGGUGUUACCGGAAACAGGAAUUCAAAACAAAGGCACCAAGAGAUCUUGAGGUUCAAGGACAAACCAUGGCAACCAGAAUCUAUGAAGGACCCAAAGGACAAAUUCUUCCUUUGUGACUCUAGCUCCACAAAGGAAAACAAAGUAACUGCAGUGUCUGUACUGGAAACUUGAGUAGUCCAGGGCUGGAGGCAAUGAUCUGUUGGCAUGAGAUCGUGUAUUCAACGACAGGAUUCUUUCUUCAUUGAGAAAUGGACAAUGACAUCAACUAUUUGGUUCAUCUAGAUACAUGGCAGCAAGCUGAGCCUUUCCCUUGAAAUCUUUCCCAAAUCCUUUCAAACUGAUUUGUAUUGUAUCAACAAACAUUCUAACAAUAGGCCAAGUUAGCAAGGCAACUUAAAAGAAAACAAAUAAGAAAGCACAUCGACCUUUCCAUUAGCUACAUAGCUUUGUUGACAUUCCUCUUGAUUUUAGGAGGAAUGUUCAUAAUUUACAUAUUAGCUCAAGUUUACAAUGAACGAAGGGGAAGAGAAUGAAAUCAUGUCUCAUGACAGUUUGGGUUUUAAAGCAAGUACCCUAAAUAAUUGUGAGUAUCAAUAUCAUCUGAAAAUCUUAAUUAUCAAUUACUUUAAAAUCAUGUUUCCUAGUGUGUCUGUGUGGUUGCCUAUGUAUGUGUGUAUUACUAUCUCUUUAUAUGGUCUGUGGCUGAGAGAGAAUUGAAUUCCUUAUAUUUUUUGCUACAUCUACUAAAAAAGUAUAAAAGAGAAUACCAUAAAAUUGUAUGUAUAUGCAUAUAUACAUAUAUAUGUAUAUGUGUAUAUUUAUAUAUUUGUUUAUAAUACUUUCUGCUUUAAUAGCUCUAAAACUAUGUGGUCAGAGAAUCUGGCUUUAUUGUGAAUGAAUCAUACAUUUAGAACCAACACUGAUUCAGAGUGAAAUGACUGUGGAAGAUUAUUUUAAUUUUUCAUGUUGAACUUCAUAUUCCAGAAGUUCUGGGCUGAUUCCCAACUUAGUCUGACUCAAGCCACAUUUUCCUUCCACAGGAUGUGAGGAGGUGGUAGGUCUGAAGGCAUAAACAGCUCUAAUGCAUUACUCUACCUAGUAUUCCAGGCCAUAGGCUAAGUUUUCCAGACUACAGAGUGAGGAUUAGCCCUUGAAUUCCCAUAGUGCUUUCUGAUAACUGAGAAAAGAACCAUAGGAUAGAUGGAUAUGAUCAUUACCUUGUGCACACAGUCAUAUUAUCCUUGAGAGUCUACUUUCAUGCCUAUGGUUUUAUCCACUUGCUCCUUCUACAGUAAGGGUGUCUCUAAGCUUUUAUGAGCAGUGGGAAGGGUGCUGGAAAUAUGUACAAACAUAGAUUAGGAAGCUAAGAGUCCUUGGGACAGGUUGCAGUUUGAACUAAAGAGAAUCUACAAGAGAGCUGCAUUAUGAUCUAACCAGACUGUGACUAGAGCAUGACCUUAUGAAUUUCAUGUGUCAUUGGCCUUAACACCCAGCCCUUCAAAAUACGAUAUAAUUGAGACAGGACCUUAAAAGAUGUAAUCAUUGCUAAAUUAAAAUUUAUCGGUGGGCAUUAGACCAAUUUGACAAAUGUGUGGUACAGAGAAAACGACCAUGCAAGGGUAUAGUAAGGAUCCAUCUGCAUACCAAUGUGAGAGACUUCGGGUGAAACCAAGCGUCCCCCCCCCCCAGCCUUGAGUUUCCAACUUCCAAAGGAGAAAGACAAUGAUUUUAUUUGUUUAAAGUGCCCUGACUGUGUUCUUUGCUCCUCAGCCCUAUCAAAUUAACACCAUAGGAUGGUAUAGAAAGCUGAGUUUUGAAGCCCUCAAAUCUGGCUAUGAUUUACAACAGUAUUGUAACCUUGAGGAAAUUGGUCAAACUCUCCGAACUUCAGUCUCCUCAUUUGUAAAUUGGGAAUAAAAAUAAUCACCUGUCAGUUUUCUUGAGGAACAAAUUCAUCUAUGCAAUUUGUGUCUGACAUAAAGUGAGCACUCACGUACUGCCCCUUAUGUGAUUUUGUCUUAGGUAAAACUCCAAGUCACAGAACCAUAAUAGAACACUGGGUACAUACCAAGGGAUCGAGACAUGUUCCUUUUGAAAGGCUUCUGAUUGUAGAUGUCGUUUCAGUUUUUCCUGAUGAUCAAAGUUGUAUAUGGGCAGUACUCUUUGUUGGGGAGCAAUGAGAGGUGGGGAGCCUAACAGAAGAAUUGGGUGCUGUUGUGAUGUUUAUUUUCCGUUUGACUCCUUACCGGUUACCACGUGGUGAGUAAGGUGGGAUGGUCUCUCUGAAGUAAAGAAUUAUUGAGAAUUCUGACCCAGAAGUCUUGUUAUAAACUCCUGGUUUAGGUAGGUGAGUGAAGAGAAAACUGAAUCACAGAUUAUAUGCGUCCCUUCCCCCAAGCAUCCAAGCAUAAAAGCCACCAAUAAUCCAAGAAGGGUAACACAUGCCUAUAACCCUAGUAGCUCAAACUCUGUUGCUAGAAUAGUUCCAGGGAGCUGCUAUGACUUAUGGUCCAAGGAUUCCAAAACUCUAGGUUUGAGACCUAUGGCACUAGCCACUAUAGGAGCUGAGGGUCCCAGCAACUAUGACCCAUUCAGGAGCUGUAAUAUUAGCAGGCACCAUCUCCCAUUUUCUGCCAUUGCCAUUUGGAGCCAAAGACUCCAAUAGCUGCUAGGUGCUGUGGCUACUGUGUCGAAAUCUUAGAACACCAAGCUUCGAAACUAAUUGUCUACACCCAUAGCUAUGUGGCAUCUAAAUCCCGGUCUCUACUUCUCAAGACUGGGAGAUGCAAGCUUCCAAGUCUGUUAGUCCAGUUCUU